AUGAAGUUGACAAAAUGCU
rnacentral:snRNA from 1 species